rnacentral:rRNA from 1 species
GUGUCGUGAGAUGUUGGGUUAAGUCCCGCAACGAGCGCAACCCUUAUCCCCAGUUGCCAUCAUUCAGUUGGGCACUCUGGUGAAACCGCCUCGGAUAACGGGGAGGAAGGUGGGGAUGACGUCAAGUCCUCAUGGCCUUUAUGUCCAGGGCUACACACGUGCUACAAUGGCCGGUACAAACCGUCGCAAACCCGCGAGGGGGAGCUAAUCGGAAAAAGCCGGCCUCAGUUCGGAUUAGAGUCUGCAACUCGACUCUAUGAAGCUGGAAUCGCUAGUAAUCGCGGAUCAGAAUGCCGCGGUGAAUACGUU